CCGCGUCAGUUUCCUCCUCAUUCGUGGCCAGCAAGCUUUAUCCCUUCUCGCGUCGUCGUCCUUCCCCCCCUCUCUCUCUCUCCACCGUUUGCCUCGGCGCCGCUUCGCUUUCCCGUGUUUCUCUCAGGUUCUGAUCUGAAUGAGAUGGUUUGCUGUUGGUUCAAUUGGAAAUUAGACAUGAUAAUUUUCUUCAUCGAAUCUUGGAUCCCCUUAAUUGUCCUUGUAGGUGACACUCUCACUGUCCGCAUUUGGGAGUUUUGAAACUCAUAUGGCUGAGGAGGGUCACAGGGUUACUUUGAAUGUGUAUGACCUGAGCCAAGGUCUUGCUUGACAGCUUUCCACAUCUUUCUUGGGAAAGGCGAUUGAGGGCAUCUGGCAUACUGGAGUGGUAGUGUAUGGUAAUGAAUACUACUUUGGAGGAGGUAUACAGCAUGCUCCUGUUGGGUCAACGCCGUAUGGUACUCCCAUUCUUGUUGUAGAAUUGGGUGUCACACAUGUGCCAGAAGAUGUGUUCGAGAUGUAUUUACAGGAGAUCAGUCCUUGAUACACAGCUGAAACAUAUAGCCUGCUCACUCACAAUUGUAGCAACUUCAGUAAUGAGGUAGCCCAAUUUUUAGUGGGUUCAACCAUUCCAGACUAUAUUUUGCAGCUUCCUAAUGAGGUCAUGAGUAGCCCAAUGGGUGCUUUGAUAUUGCCUAUGAUACAGAACCUGGAGACGACUUUGACAGCGGGAGCCGUUCCUCAACUUCCACAAUUUAGGCUUCCAUCCUCGACCCCCGAUGUUACCAAGUCCUUCGGCAGUACUCCUAGUGCACCUGUGAAGAAAACCAAAGCCACAGAUGUGGAUAAGAAACAGCAAUCUGGGGAGUGUGCUAAGGAGUCUAAGGAUGAAAAAGCCCUAGCUGCAAGUGAUUCUGCCGCUGCAAAAGUCGAUCCUGUACCAGGAGAUCCUCUGGGAGAUGCACGGAGCAAGGUGCAGGAGGAGAUUACUGCAGAAUUUGCGGCAAUCAUGGCAAGUGGAACGUUGCGCGCAAGUGAAGCCGCUGCACUUGCCACCAAGAGGGUGAUGCAAAGAUAUGGGCACAUGAACAUUGCGAUGUCGAGCUAAAAUGAACUGAAAAACAACGCAUCAUUAUUACUAGGAAAAAGUGUGUUUACAAAUGCAGUAGACACAAAGUGAUUGAUUAUCAUGAGACUGAAUUGGUCGGCUCCACCCUGAUGUAAACCGAUUUCAUUGUUCGAAUUAUUAACAGAGACGUUUUCUGCGUAUGCCUUCGAUUUUGAAAGCCAGAUUAGCGGGUGGAACACACGAAUGAACCUUGCAUUCGCACUUCGUGUUU